CCCAAAAUUGAUUAAUCAUUUCUCAAAAACACUGAGGAAGGAAGGAAAAGUUAGGAUUACCUGAUGUUGUCUUAAGGAGGUUGCAAGGUGCAAUACAGUGUUGCCUUCCUGAUCCGUCCAGCUUAAAAGGCUCUCCAUUUUAAGCUCUUCAAUCCAUC